rnacentral:rRNA from 1 species
AGGAUCAUUCGCAAUGGGCGAAAGCCUGACGAUGCGACGCUGCGUGGAGGAUGAAGGCCUUCGGGUCGUAAACUCCUGUCAUGGGGGAAGAGGCGAGGCGGGUCAACACCCCGUUUAGUUGACGGUACCCCAAGAGGAAGGGACGGCUAACUCUGUGCCAGCAGCCGCGGUAAUACAGAGGUCCCGAGCGUUGUUCGGAUUUACUGGGCGUAAAGGGCGCGUAGGCGGCGGGGCGUGUCAAGUGUGAAAUCUCCGGGCUCAACCCGGAAAGUGCGCUUGAAACUACCUCGCUGGAGUACGGGAGAGGGAAUCGGAAUAUAGGGUGUAGCGGUGAAAUGCGUUGAUAUCCUAUAGAACACCGGAGGCGAAGGCGGAUUCCUUGAACGAUACUGACGCUGAGGCGCGAAAGUCGGGGGAGCAAACA